GUUACAGCAGACCUGCUCAACUUCAGCAGCUAGAAGGAGGAUUGUCUUUCACCAGCUGCAGGAGCCUGUUCCCACUACAAGCCUGGUGGAGUCUUCGGAGCAGAUGUGACUGUCCUACUUGUAUAGAGAAGAGAAACUGAGGCUCAGAAGAGAUGCCUGGCUGAGUUUAAUAGGACUGCAACAACAAUUUUGCCUUUCUACUUUCUGGUACAGUGGUCUUUCCUUUGCCAUCAUGCCUCAGCAUAUCCAUCUCACCGAAGAAGACAGGAAAACUUGUCAGAUGGGGAAGGAUGUGUCAAGAGCAUGCACACAGAUUUACUCUUCAGCUAGAAGCUCCAAUUCCUAGAUGAUCUGAAUCCAACUCAGAGUGCUUGCACCUGUUUCCUGCCACACAGCUAGAGCUGUGUCCCUCUAGGUUCUCUGAUUGGCUGAAGCUACUCUAAGCCAAGAGAUCAAAGAAGCUGAUAAUGUAGAAUGUAAGUUUGUCUCCUGGGCCACAAUGGAAAGCAGAGACUGUAGCUGGAGGAGUGAAUAGAGGAUAUGCAGCUCUGGUAAUUCUCAGUACAAUUCCCAGUGGUCCACUCUGCAGAAUGAACCAAGUUCCAUUUUGCCCAACUUCUGGCAGUCCACAUUUGGACUGUGAGCUCACCUACAGAUAAAUCGUACGUGGAUUGAUGCAGUAACUGGAUUUGUAGCUGCUAAAUCUUAUUUAAGUGAGGACCUGUCCAGUACAUGUGAAGACCACCCAUCCACUGAAAGUGAUAAGUGAAGCUGAAUCAAUACUAGACUGAAUCAAUACUGAGCUGAAUCAAUACUUUCCCAAUUUUGAGGAAAUCUUGGAAAAUCUCUGAGAAAUGUGGUAGUAAUUAUUUUGAAGAAUUGGAAAACUUUAUAGCUGAUUAUGCUAUGUGUGGAAGAUACAACAGGAUUAUAAGAGAGAGAAGACAAUAUCCUUGCUGUGUCCAGAAGGCUUUAGCCGGGGUGUCCUACUGAGAGAUGACAAACUUAAGGUUUUUCUCUUCCCAGACAUUACUGGACAACUAGCUAUGUAAUUAGGUCUUAUGCCGAAAAGACUGAAAGGAAAACAUCUCAGAUCUAGGAAUGUGAUCAAGAAAGAAGGCUGGUUAAAGAAUAACAUGGGGAAAAUGAAUGCAGUGAAAUGGUUCACGCACAAGUUCUAGGAAUUCAGAGUGCAACAGCAGAAAUGCGAUUUUUGUUAGAUAUUUCAGAAAGUGAUGUGAGUCCCUGAGGUCAUACUGCAGCGUUCAGGUUCUGUUUGGCCUCCUGCACGAAGCUUUCCUUGAUUGGAAAAGCUGCAUACUCUGAAGCACAUCGCAUGUGUCCUGUCUGUAGUUCAUUUCAUUUCCCCAGAUUUGUUAUCAUCCACCAUCACUCAUACAAGCCUACCUUCUUCAUGCCAACCUUUGUAAUCUUUCUACCUUGCUAACCUGGUCAUGUCAAGGACCAGCUAAUAAAUAGCAAAGUUGUACCUUGAGCCAAGGUAUCUUGACUCUUAGUCCA
rnacentral:lncRNA from 1 species